CUCCCGCCGGCGACCGGCGCACGGGUGAGUAACACGUAUGAAACCUGCCCGUAGCAGGGGGAUAAGCGGAAGAAAUUCCGUCUAAUACCGCGUAACAACCCAUGGAGGCAUCUCUGUGGGUUUAAAGGAAGCGAUUCCGGCUACGGAUGGUCAUGCGUCGCAUUAGCUUGUUGGCGGGGUAACGGCCCACCAAGGCGACGAUGCGUAGGGGUUCUGAGAGGAAGGUCCCCCACCACUGGUACUGAGACACGGACCAGACUCCUACGGGAGGCAGCAG
rnacentral:rRNA from 1 species